UUUAUUGUUUAGUGAGAAUGAUAUUUGUUCUUUAACAAUGUGGUAAAAAGUAUAAGUAAAGAUUCCUUGAUUAAUUUAGGAUUAUUUUUAUUUUAGGUUGAGAUGUAUUUUUAUAUUUUGAUUUGAAAUUGAAGGUAAUUUUAGUUUAUUUAAUUAACGAGUCUUGGUAAUUUUUGAAAACCGGUGUUGAGAUAUAGUUUUGAUUGGUUUUAGUUAAUAGAUUUUAGAUUUAUUGAUAUAAGACUUUUUGGGGUUAUAUGAUCAAGUGAAUAAGUGCAU
rnacentral:misc_RNA from 1 species